GUGGGGAAUAUUGGACAAUGGGCGAAAGCCUGAUCCAGCCAUGCCGCGUGUGUGAAGAAGGUCUUCGGAUUGUAAAGCACUUUAAGUUGGGAGGAAGGGUAGUAACCUAAUACGUUGCUACUUUGACGUUACCGACAGAAUAAGCACCGGCUAACUUCGUGCCAGCAGCCGCGGUAAUACGAAGGGUGCAAGCGUUAAUCGGAAUUACUGGGCGUAAAGCGCGCGUAGGUGGUUCAGUAAGUUGGAAGUGAAAUCCCCGGGCUCAACCUGGGAACUGCUUUCAAAACUGCUGAGCUAGAGUACGGUAGAGGGUGGUGGAAUUUCCUGUGUAGCGGUGAAAUGCGUAGAUAUAGGAAGGAACACCAGUGGCGAAGGCGACCACCUGGACUGAUACUGACACUGAGGUGCGAAAGCGUGGGGAGCAAACAGGAUUAGAAACCCGAGUAGUCC
rnacentral:rRNA from 1 species